rnacentral:rRNA from 1 species
CAAGAGCGUAUAUUAAAGUUGCUGCGGUUAAAAAGCUCGUAGUUGGAUUUCAGUCUAGGAAGGUUAACUCGCCGAAAGGUUGUACGUUGAUUUUCCUCAGACUUCGUCAGAAGCUCGUGCGGCACUUAACUGUGUGGUACGAUGUUCUGACCUUUUACCUUGAGGAAAGUAGAGUGUUUCAGGCAGGCUACCCAGCUUGAAUACAUUAGCAUGGAAUAAUGAAAUGGAUCUCGGUUCGAUUUCGUUGGUUCUAGAGCUGAGGUGAUGAUCAAUAGGAACAGGCGAAGGUAUUCGUACUUGAGAGUGAGGAGUGAAAUCCGAUGAUCUCUUAAAGACGAUCCGAGGCGAAAGCAUUUGUCAAGGAUGUUUUCAUUGA